AAGACAGUGAAGAUAGUCGCUUGAUUUUCAAGAGGAAAGUCCGGACACCUAAUAAGAAAUGUGCCAUUUGAGAUUUUAUCAAAAAUGGGAGCUUGCAAAAGCUACGGAAAGUGCCACAGAAAAAAACCGCCGCAAGGCAAGGGUGAAAAAGUGUGGUAAGAGCACACAGUAUUUAAAAGCAAUUUUAAAUAGGGGCAAACCCCACAUGGUGCAAGGCAAAAUAGUGUGAAGAGUGCUUAUUCUUGGUUGACACACGGGUAUGCCGCAUAGAUAGAUGACUAUACCGUCAAGGAUACAGAAUCCGGCUUAUGCAACUGUCUUUUUG
rnacentral:RNase_P_RNA from 1 species